rnacentral:rRNA from 1 species
GAAUGUUGGGUUAAGUCCCGUAACGAGCGCAACCCUUGUCCUUAGUUACCAGCACGUUAUGGUGGGCACUCUAAGGAGACUGCCGGUGACAAACCGGAGGAAGGUGGGGAUGACGUCAAGUCAUCAUGGCCCUUACGGCCUGGGCUACACACGUGCUACAAUGGUCGGUACAAAGGGUUGCCAAGCCGCGAGGUGGAGCUAAUCCCAUAAAACCGAUCGUAGUCCGGAUCGCAGUCUGCAACUCGACUGCGUGAAGUCGGAAUCGCUAGUAAUCGUGAAUCAGAAUGUCACGGUGAAUACGUUCCCGGGCCUU